AUUGAACGCUGGCGGCAUGCCUUACACAUGCAAGUCGAACGGUAACGCGGGGCAACCUGGCGACGAGUGGCGAACGGGUGAGUAAUGCAUCAGAACGUGCCCAGUAGUGGGGGAUAGCCCGGCGAAAGCCGGAUUAAUACCGCAUACGACCUACGGGUGAAAGCGGGGGACUCGCAAGAGCCUCGCGCUAUUGGAGCGGCCGAUGUCAGAUUAGGUAGUUGGUGGGGUAAAAAGCCUACCAAGCCGACGAUCUGUAGCUGGUCUGAGAGGACGACCAGCCACACUGGGACUGAGACACGGCCCAGACUCCUACGGGAGGCAGCAGUGGGGAAUUUUGGACAAUGGGCGCAAGCCUGAUCCAGCCAUGCCGCGUGCGGGAAGAAGGCCUCGGUUGUAA
rnacentral:rRNA from 1 species